rnacentral:rRNA from 1 species
CCUACGGGAGGCAGCAGUGGGGGAUAUUGCACAAUGGGGGAAACCCUGAUGCAGCGACGCCGCGUGGGGGAAGAAGGAUCUCGGGAUGUAAAGCCCUAGCAGCAGGGAAGAAGAAAUGACGGUAACUGAGUAAGAAGCACGGGCUAAAUAUGUGCCAGCAGCCGCGGUAAUACGUAGGGUGCAAGCGUUAUCCGGAUUCACUGGGUGGAAAGGGAGCGCAGGCGGCACGGCAAGCCUUAUGUGAAAGCAAGCGGCGCAACCGAGGGACGGCAUUUGAAACUGCCGGGCUGGAGUGCCGGAGGGGUAAGCGGAAUUCCUGGUGUAGCGGUGAAAUGCGUAGAUAUUAGGAGGAACACUAGUGGCGAAGGCGGCCUACUGGACGGUAACUGACGCUGAGGCUCGAAAGCGUGGGGAGCAAACAGGAUUAGAUACCCCAGUAGUC